GGGAAACCGGGGCUAAUACCGGAUGGUUGUUUGAACCGCAUGGUUCAAACAUAAAAGGUGGCUUCGGCUACCACUUACAGAUGGACCCGCGGCGCAUUAGCUAGUUGGUGAGGUAACGGCUCACCAAGGCAACGAUGCGUAGCCGACCUGAGAGGGUGAUCGGCCACACUGGGACUGAGACACGGCCCAGACUCCUACGGGAGGCAGCAGUAGGGAAUCUUCCGCAAUGGACGAAAGUCUGACGGAGCAACGCCGCGUGAGUGAUGAAGGUUUUCGGAUCGUAAAGCUCUGUUGUUAGGGAAGAACAAGUACCGUUCGAAUAGGGCGGUACCUUGACGGUACCUAACCAGAAAGCCACGGCUAACUACGUGCCAGCAGCCGCGGUAAUACGUAGGUGGCAAGCGUUGUCCGGAAUUA
rnacentral:rRNA from 1 species